CCGGGAAGUCCUCGUGUUGCAUCCC
rnacentral:sRNA from 1 species